AACCAAUGAUGAAAUGAUUCUGCCAUAUGAGAUGUUAUGAUUCUAUUCUCUACCGUUCCAUUUGUUCUGAGGUU